CUUUACUUCUUCACCUUCUCUCCCUCUCUGUUCUGUAAAAGAAACUGGCAUCCAGACCCCGAUAAGAUGGUUUUUGGGGAACAUCUUCUCGGUCUGCCGGCUUUCUGAAUGAAAUCGCUCUUCCUUGCCUCACCACUUCCUGUCCCGAUUUAUUGGCCUGCCGUGCGGCGAGCAGAGCGAGCUUGGACUCGCUCUGUCUCCGAGGUUCGAUUCAGCACUGGUGUACAGAGAAGCUGAGCUUUCGACAUCACAGGAAGAAAUAGCCUUUUCUAUGGUGAUGACCAGAAGUUUUCCUCAGCACACCUCUCAGCUUCUCCUUCCAGCUUCAACACUCUGGGAACCUGCCAUACUUGAUCUCUUUGGAGAGGUAUUCUGGGACAAAUCGUCUAGAUACAGAAAAUGUUAAGAGGUAACUGGCACAGAAUUAACAGCUUUCAUACUUGGCUACAAGACAGUCUUCUCUAGUUUCCCAUAUAUUUCUUGACCUGAUGUAUUUAAGGACGUUUGAAAUCACAUUAUUUUGAAGUGUCUUAAUUUUGCUUAUAUUGGGUUGUGGAAGUUUCAGAUUAGGUUUAUCCUCUCAAGGCAUCUGAUCUUAUUGGCUCUGUAUCCUUCAGAAAUAACUGAAUAAUUGAUUUACUAGGGACUUCUCUUGGUUUUUUAGGACCUCCAAGUCUUUAACUGUUUAUUUACUAUAUUUUGUGACUUCUAUAAUCUCAGUGGGAUUUUUGAAGGAAGAAGAGAUUAAAACAUGCCCUUAGUCAGCCAUUUUGAAACCCCAAGUCUCUCUUUUUUUUUAGGUAAUAUUAUCACAGUGAGGGAACAGAAAAAACAGUUAAUACCAAUCAGAUUUUAAUACAGAGUACGGUUCUAUGAGUUAUACAUGGACAUAUAAACAGCAGUUGAAAUCUAAUCCCUAUUAGAAGGAAAUGCACAUUCUUAAAUGUGAUUAUUUUAACUUCAUUAUGAUUAAUUUUAAUAAAAUUACAUACAGUUUUCUGGAAUCCAGUUUAUCAUUAAUUAAAAUGAAAGGUAUGAUUAAUACAUCCACAUUAAAAGUGUUUUUAAAAAUUAAGCAAGAAAAAAAUACACUAAUAAAGUAAAUGUGUAUUUUAUUACUAAAUAAGGAAAGUUAAUUGGUUUGAAAUAAUUAGACAUAUCCUAGAUUUAAAUUGGGUGUAGAAUAGAAAUCCCACAGAGAAUGUAACUUUAAUUCAAAAGGUAAUACAGUGAAUUUUACAAAUCAUAACUUGAGUGUGGGUGGAAAAUCACUUCAGUUUCUUUUUUUGUUUUUGUUCUUUUUUUGCGGUACACGGGCCUCUCACUCUUGUGGCCUCUCCCGUUGCGGAGCACAGGCUCUGGACGCGCAGACUCGGCGGCCAUGGCUCACGGGCCCAGCCGCUCCGCGGCAUGUGGGAUCUUCCUGGACCGGGGCACGAACCUGUGUCCCCUGC